ACCUGCCUGGCUAAGUCAGUAGAGCAUGAGACUCUUGAUCUCUGGGUUGUAUGUUCGAUCCGCAUGUUGGGUG
rnacentral:tRNA from 1 species